rnacentral:rRNA from 1 species
UACAGAGGUCUCGAGCGUUAGGCGGAAUCACUGGGCUUAAAGCGUGUGUAGGCGGAUCGGUAAGUACCUUGUGAAAUCCCACAGCUUAACUGUGGAACUGCUUGGUAUACUGCCAGUCUUGAGCCACUUAGGGGCUACCGGAACAAAUGGUGGAGCGGUGAAAUGCGUAGAGAUGCGGCGGAACACCGAUGGCGAAGGCAGCCCCCUGGGCUGAGAUUGACGCUCAGGCACGAAAGCGUGGGGAGCAAACAGG